ncrna:unclassified sequences DTF2800 RNA
CCGCUGAUGACCGCACGGACUGAUCACCCGUGGCUCAACGGAAGUCAGCGGACAACUGAAUAACAACGGUUGCCUUUUGAGCGGGUUGCCGCAGACCGAAACGGAGAAUCUCUCUGUCGGGCUGUGGUUAGUUUUCUGCACCCUUUUUGCAGCCGAACC